rnacentral:rRNA from 1 species
AAUCAACGCUGGCGGCGUGCCUAACACAUGCAAGUCGAGCGCGAAAGCGGGGCAACUCGCAAGUAGAGCGGCGAACGGGUGAGUAACGCGUGGGUGAUCCACCUCCGAGUGGGGAACAACAUCGGGAAACUGGUGCUAAUACCGCAUGACAUCCUCGGGUCAUACUGAGGAUCAAAGCCGGGGACCGCAAGGCCUGGCGCUUGGAGAGGAGCCCGCGUCCGAUAGCUAGUUGGCGGGGUAACGGCCCACCAAGGCGACGAUCGGUAGCCGGCCUGAGAGGGCGGACGGCCACACUGGGACUGAGACACGGCCCAGACUCCUAC